rnacentral:rRNA from 1 species
AACGAACGCUGGCGGCGUGCCUAACACAUGCAAGUCGAACGAGAAAGGGGCUUCGGCCCUGAGUAAAGUGGCGCACGGGUGAGUAACACGUAGGUAACCUGCCUCUAAGAUUGGGAUAACAUGUCGAAAGACGUGCUAAUACCGAAUAAGACCACAGUUUCCUCGGAGACAGGGGUCAAAGGUAGCCUCUAUUUAUAAGCAAUCACUUAGAGAUGGGCCUGCGUACCAUUAGCUAGUUGGUAGGGUAACGGCCUACCAAGGCAAAGAUGGUUAGCUGGUCUGAGAGGAUGAUCAGCCACACUGGAACUGAGACACGGUCCAGACUCCUACGGGAGGCAGCAGUGGGGAAUAUUGCGCAAUGGGCGAAAGCCUGACGCAGCAACGCCGCGUGAGUGAUGAAGGCCUUCGGGUCGUAAAGCUCUGUCGGAGGGAACGAAUGUUUCUGAGGUUAACAGCCUCAGGAAGUGACGGUACCCUCAAAGGAAGCACCGGCUAACUCUGUGC